rnacentral:rRNA from 1 species
GNAGGGUCCAAGCGNUAAUCGGAANNACNGGGCGNAAAGCGNGCGCAGGCGGUNGUGCGAGACCGAUGUGAAANCCCCGGGCUUAACCUGGGAANCGCAUUGGUGACUGCACGGCUAGAGUGUGUCAGAGGGGGGUAGAAUUCCACGNGUAGCAGUGAAAUGCGUAGAGAUGUGGAGGAAUACCGAUGGCGAAGGCAGCCCCCUGGGAUAACACUGACGCUCAUGCACGAAAGCGUGGGGAGCAAACAGGAUUAGAUACCCUGGUAGUCCACGCCCUAAACGAUGUCAACUAGUUGUUGGGAGGGUUUUCUUUCUCAGUAACGAAGCUAACGCGUGAAGUUGACCGCCUGGGGAGU